UCUCCUCCUGCAGAUCUGGCUUGAUCCCACAAAAAAGAUAAAAACACAAAUGCGAAAUCGCUCCUGGCUUUUUACAUUUAAUGUAAAAUUUUAUCCAUCUUGUGCUUCUCAGAUGACUGAGAGUAUUUCCAGAUACCUCCUAUGCCUCCAGAUCCGGGCAGACAUUGUUU